rnacentral:tRNA from 1 species
AUUUAUGUAGUUUAUUAAAACAUUUUAUUUUCAUUAAAAAAAAAGCAUAAUAUUUGCUCUUAAAUU